rnacentral:rRNA from 1 species
AACGAACGCUGGCGGCAGGCUUAACACAUGCAAGUCGAGCGCCCCGCCAGGGCAGCGGCGGACGGGUGAGUAACGCGUGGGGACGUACCUUUUGGUUCGGAACAACUUCGGGAAACUGGAGCUAAUACCGGAUAAGCCCUAAUACGGAAAGGUUUAUCGCCGAAAGAUCGGCGCGCGUCUGAUUAGCGAGUUGGUGGGGUGACGGCUCAGCAAGGCGACGUUCAGUAGCUGGUCUGAGAGGAUGAGCCGCCACACUGGGGCUGAGACCCGGCCCAGACUCCGACGGGACGGAGCAGUGGGGAGUAUUGUACGCUGGGCGCAAGCGUGAUCCAGCCGUGCCGCGUGAGUGGUGCAUGCCGUAGGAUUGUGAAGCUCUUUUGUCCGGAGAGAUAAUGACUGUACCGGAUGAAUAAGCCCCGGCUAACUUCGUG